UGCUGUCAUAGCAGGCCCAUCGAGGAUAGC
rnacentral:piRNA from 1 species